AGAGAAGGAAGAGCCAGUUACCCUGAGAGCUUAGUUUUGGAACUGGAGUUCUCUCUAUCUAGGAAGAAAAUGAAGUGGGUUACUGGAGUGGUGGUCUGUGUUCUAUCAGUCACUGAGGAAAGUACCAGGGAAUCUCCUGAUCCAGGUGCUGGAAUGUUUUUGACUGUGAAGGACUCUGAAGGAUGGGAAACCAUACAAGUUCAACAUUGCAGAGCCUGAAUCAUUCUGCUGUGGCAAAUUUGAACAGAAAACUAACUAGACAAAGCAUGCCCCAGUACUAAAUAGGGUGCCUGGACUCCUCUUAGAAGAGGGUGAAUGCUAUAAGGAGAGUCCAGCUUAUACUGGGAAGAUGGAUUUGGAGAUCGUCAAUAGAUGGAUUUGGGGGUGCAAAGGUACCUGCUGCAUCUGAUACAAAUAUGUAGUAAAUAAAAGAAGCUGAUGCACAAUGAGAGUGUCAGAAGGCUGGCUUUCAAGGCUCUCCUUAGAGAGCUUCCUGUAUACUUAAGUAAGGAAAAAUCUAGUCUU